rnacentral:lncRNA from 1 species
GCGGCCUCGCUCAACACUGGCAACAUUCUAGCCGGCCCCUUAUGGGUAACUUCUGUAUACAGCUAACUGCGCCGUGCGCGCCGCUGUGUUCAUCCCACGGACGGACCUCUAGGUGGCACCGCUGUCGGAGGUCUUUCAACCUUCUUGCUAACUAGCGCCGACAGUAGCAAGCGGCUUGGAAGCCAGCAGGGAUUGAAUUGAGUGCAUCGUGCGCUGACUUUGGGCGCUGUCAGAGCAAAACAGGAGAGAAACCCUUGCGGAGUUUAGGCCUAAGCGGUGGCUUCCAUUUGCGCUGUUCAACUUCAGCCGAUUGUGGUCCGUCCCCU